GCUGGGUGUGGUGGUGCAUACCUGUAAUCCCAAUGGCUCAGGAGGCUGAGGCAGGAAGAUUGAAAGUUCAAAGCCAGCCUCAG
rnacentral:sRNA from 1 species